GAUAAGGUAAGUAGAUCUGAUUUUUCUUUUCUGACAUCUUUUAUGAAAGACCUUGCCAUAGACAUAGUGCAACAGGUUCAAGCAUCUCAGCUACCAACACCAUGUGGGAAUUAUGCAUACGUAGGAUAUCCAACUAAUCAAUGUUCUACACGUUAUGAGUAUGACCAGCCUAGACAUACAUUUGGAGGAUACUAUGAACAGCCA
rnacentral:lncRNA from 1 species